rnacentral:rRNA from 1 species
AGGAAUGUAUAGCAAUAGCUACUUGUAUCAUUAAUGAUGCAAGCUCGACUAUGUUGAAUAAAGUUCUAGGUAGAAUUAUGAUAAUGACAUUGUCUGCCUAUGUGUCUUGACCAAAUUACGUGCCAGCAGUCGCGGUAAUACGUAGAAGACUAGUGUUAUUCAUGUUUAAUCGGUUUAAAGGGUACCUAGACGGUGAAUCAAGCUUUUAAAUAAAUAAGAAAAGGGACUAAUUCGCUAGAGUUACUUACGAGGGGGUUUUAAAGUACUGCUGGUGUAGAGAUGAAAUUCUGUCAUACCUCUUUUCGAAAGAAGAAUAACGGCACAGGUAUAGGCGAAGGCAUCCCCUUAUGUGAUAACUGACGUUGAGGGACGAAGGCUUCGUGGAACAAACAGGAUUAGGUACCCUAGUAGUUGAAGCAGAAAAUGAUGAAUGUCAUAGAUUAGACGUCUAAGUUUAUUCUAUAAAUGAAAGUGUAAGCAUUCCACCUCAGGAGUAAUUUGGCAACAUUGGAAUUGAAAUCAUUAGACCGUUUCUGAAACCAGUAGUGAAGUAUGUUGUUUAAUUUGAUGAUCCGCAAAAAACCUUACCACAAUUUGAAUAUUUAUACCGAACAUAUAUUUACAAGCGUUGCACGGCUGUCUUCAGUUAAUGUCGUGAGACUCUGGUUAGUUCCAUUAAAUUAACGUAAACCCUUACUUUAUUUUUUAUAUAGAGUAGUUCCCCGCUAGAUUGGAUAUGAU